rnacentral:rRNA from 1 species
CGCCAGACUCCUACGGGAGGCAGCAGCGGGGAAUAUUGCACAAUGGGGGAAACCCUGAUGCAGCGACGCCGCGUGAGUGAAGAAGUAUUUCGGUAUGUAAAGCUCUAUCGGCAGGGAAGAAAAUGACGGUACCUGGCUAAGAAGCCCCGGCUAACUACGUGCCAGCAGCCGCGGUAAUACGUAGGGGGCAAGCGUUAUCCGGAUUUACUGGGUGUAAAGGGAGCGUAGACGGCAUGGCAAGUCAGAUGUGAAAGCCCGGGGCUCAACCCCGGGACUGCAUUUGAAACUGUCAGGCUGGAGUGCAGGAGAGGUAAGUGGAAUUCCUAGUGUAGCGGUGAAAUGCGUAGAUAUUAGGAGGAACACCAGUGGCGAAGGCGGCUUACUGGACUGUAACUGACGUUGAGGCUCGAAAGCGUGGGGAGCAAACAGGAUUAGAUACCCUAGUA